rnacentral:tRNA from 1 species
GUGAAGUUAGUUUAUAUUAAAAUAAUAAAUUGUGGUUUUAUAGAAAAAUUUUAUUUUACUUUACU